rnacentral:lncRNA from 7 species
AAACAAACUACUAAGAGAUAUGUGGCUGAUUUACAGAGGAGACAGAGUAAAGCCAGCGUGUUUUUAGAACAGAAAGCCUAAUUCUUCUGUUUCUGCUGAAUCUUUCAGUAGUUAUACUUUUUCACAUGGAAAAGAAGUAUGCUCUCUCAAGUCCUAGGAAGUUUUCCUAUUGGUUUAAAUAAGAUGAAGACAAGCCUGAAAUAAUACAUUAAAUUGAUAUUUUCUACCAAUUCCUGAAAAGUCUUAGUUUCAAGUGCUGUUGAGAUAUUUUAUUUUAUUUUAUUUUAUUUUACUUUAUUUUAUUUAUUUUAUUUUAUUUUAUUUUAUUUUAUUUUAUUUUAUUUUUGUGCUGGUUUCUUGUUGCUUUUUUUCACCAGCAAAAAAAACUUCUGAAAACAAAAGCCUUCAGCAGUGUGCUUACUUUGAUAAAACACUUGCUGGGAAAUCUUGUUCACAUUACAGAAUGCAGUUGUUAGUCAAAUAUAGAGGAAGUUCCAUAAAAGCUGAUGAUUGAAACUCUCAACUGGGAGAGGGGAGAUGUGUUCAAGUGUCUGUCUGAUGACAGGUUACAAAGUUAUCCAGACUAAAAACUUCAGCAAAGAUUCAGGAGACAUGCAUGCGGUGAUAGUCGCUGUUUCUGUAUGGACCAUAAUGCAACACCAGUUUGAGAUCUCUUCUCUGUUUUUCUCCCUCUUAACUCCAAUUUCUCAUUCAAACUCACUGUCUUUGAGAAAGAGAGGCACUUCAGAAGUUCAUCAGUUCUACCUACUAAGAAAAUAAUGAAUCGCUCUCUGAUUGUGUCUAUUUUUCUCAAUUGACUACUGGAAAGCCUGAGUACUUAGCCUAAAUCAUUACAGAGGUAACCUUUUAUGAGUUGUGAAUCACACCCUGGUCUCUUAAGAUUCUUGUUUUCUUCUAAUUCUUGACAUUUUUUGCAGAAAAGUAAAAUAGUUUUCUUCCCAGCUCUGUCUCCAUGGAGGUUAUUGGUAGAUGGAAAUGAGACUAUUCCUUUUUAAGUCAUUACUGAACAAAUAAUAUUGAGAUCAAGUCAGCAUUUUGCAAAAACUGUGACAGCGGUGUCAUCACUCUGUUCUCUAUCAAAUCCCUCCCCAAAUCCCUACAGCUGCUUUGGUACUUAUUGGUUCCUCUUUGCUGUAAUGGGGGAAGCUGUGCACUUUGACAACAGAAACUCACAGGUGUUGACGUCAAGAAUAGAAAUGAAGGUCAUUGCUCCUAUCCAGCAGUAAGUAUUUUGGAAGAACAGACUAAGGAAGGAGCUAAUGAUACUCCUGGCCUAAAAGAAGAUCAAGUCCUUUUUCAAUGAAUAAUUUGACCUGAAUUAAAUCCUUCGUUGUUAUAAUGUGGCCACAAAAGUAAGCAGAACUGUCCCUAUUUAUCCUAACUAGGGAAUAAGCCCUUUGUCUCAUGCUUUUAUUAAAUAUGCUUUGAAAU